rnacentral:tRNA from 1 species
GCUCCUAUGGCUCAGGUGGUAGAGCAACGCAUUCGUAAUGCGUGGGCCGGGGGUUCGAAUCCCUCUGGGAGCA